rnacentral:rRNA from 1 species
UACAUAGGGUGCAAGCGUUGUCCGGAAUUAUUGGGCGUAAAGAGCUCGUAGGUUGUUUGUUACGUCGGAUGUGAAAACCUGAGGCUCAACCUCAGGCCUGCAUUCGAUACGGGCAAACUAGAGUUUGGUAGGGGAGACUGGAACUCCUGGUGUAGCGGUGGAAUGCGCAGAUAUCAGGAGGAACACCAAUGGCGAAGGCAGGUCUCUGGGCCAAUACUGACACUGAGGAGCGAAAGUCUGGGGAGCGAACAGG